rnacentral:rRNA from 1 species
GGCCCUACGGGGCGCAGCAGGCGCGAAAACUUUACCAUGCGGGCAACCGUGAUAAGGAAACCCCGAGUGCCAGCACAGGCUGGCUGUCCGCCAGUUUAAAUAACUGGUGAAGAAAGGGCCGGGCAAGACCGGUGCCAGCCGCCGCGGUAAUACCGGCGGCUCGAGUGGUGGCCGCUAUUACUGGGCUUAAAGGGUCCGUAGCUUGAUAACUGGGUCCCUUGAGAAAUCCGCCAGCUCAACUGGCGGGCGUUCAGGGGAAACUUGUUUUCUAGGGACCGGGAGAGGUGAGGGGUACUGCCGGGGUAGGAGUGAAAUCCUGUAAUCCCGGUGGGACCACCUAUGGCGAAGGCAUCUCACCAGAACGGGUCCGACAGUGAGGGACGAAAGCUGGGGGAGCAAACCGGAUUAGAUACCCGGGUAGUCCCAGCUGUAAACUAUGUGCGUUAGGUGUGUCAGUGACCACGUGUCACUGAGGUGCCGAAGGGAAACCGUGAAACGCACCGCCUGGGGAGUACGGUCGCAAGGCUGAAACUUAAAGGAAUUGGCGGGGGAGCACCACAACGGGUGGUGCCUGCGGUUUAAUCGGACUC